GUGGGGAAUAUUGGACAAUGGGGGGAACCCUGAUCCAGCCAUGCCGCGUGUGUGAAGAAGGCCUUUUGGUUGUAAAGCACUUUAAGCGAGGAGGAGAGGCCCUAGGUUAAUACCCUAGGUGCUUGGACGUUACUCGCAGAAUAAGCACCGGCUAACUCUGUGCCAGCAGCCGCGGUAAUACAGAGGGUGCGAGCGUUAAUCGGAUUUACUGGGCGUAAAGCGUGCGUAGGCGGCCACUUAAGUCGGAUGUGAAAUCCCCGAGCUCAACUUGGGAAUUGCAUUCGAUACUGGGUGGCUAGAGUAUAGGAGAGGAAGGUAGAAUUCCAGGUGUAGCGGUGAAAUGCGUAGAGAUCUGGAGGAAUACCGAUGGCGAAGGCAGCCUUCUGGCCUAAUACUGACGCUGAGGUACGAAAGCAUGGGGAGCAAACAGGAUUAGAAACCCUAGUAGUCC
rnacentral:rRNA from 1 species